CCCUCUUCUCCCCUCCCCCUCUCCCGGGGUGUGGGUCCCUAUCCCCCAUUAGUCACGGAACCAGGCUUAACUGGGCCGGAACCUUGACAAGAACAAAACUGGCAUCAAGAAGAAUGGAUAUAAGCUCCAAGAUAUAAAUCUGGGCCAGGGGAUUAUUCCUAACUACAAAGUGGUAUCAUCCCAAGAAGAGUGAUAGGUAUGAAAGUUGCAGUAGAGAAUUCAAGUGCUUUGAAGAAGUCCGUUAAACACCAUUACUGUCUCUGAAGCUACCCAGCUAAGAAUUGAUACUCAAAAUCAGAAAGGAUGUGCAGAGAGACCUGUGCUGAUUCUGGAUGUACUACCCAACACACAAGCUGUCUGGCAGGAGGUUUCAGAUUAUUUCCUGGCUUCCAGCCUGAUCCAAGAAACCACUUCUAUCAAGGGAAUGAAAGAUUAAAGCCAGAAAUUAAAUUGCUUAAGAAAAAAGAUUUACUGCCCAUGAAGUUCAUCGGAAUCCAAAAUAAGAUCUGUUCUGUAAUGUAUGCUACAUCUCAACCACGUUGAAAACUAUUGCAGAGAAAAAGAAAUCCUUGCAUCUCCAAGAGCAGGAUUCUAGUUAUACCACAAGAAAGCGAUUUCUCAAUACCACUGGAAUGUGGUUUCUAGUACAGAAUUUCUGCUUACAAUAUUCUCCCAUCAUCUGUUGAAUUUAAAGAAUGAAAUUAAAGGAGAAAAUAUUUUGGUAUUAUAGAUCAAAUAAAUUAAGUCCCAGUUAAAUUAAUAGCUUGUUGAGUUAUCCAUAAGACAUUUUAUUUUUCUUUGUGUCUCAUUCAUACAAAGUAGUAUAAAUGUUGCUCUUCUGGCUAUUAGCCUGUGAUGCAACACAUACUAUGUUUUUGUAGGGCAGUGCCAAAAAGAUAGUUCUUCUAGAGCAAAAUAAUGCAGCCAAGAGACUUUAGAAAUGCCAAUCCAGUGUUUUCUAAGCUGUGUUCUUAUUACUGUGACUGUUAUGAAAAAGAAAGGAGGGGAAAAAAAAGAAGGGGAAACAAAACCGCAUAACUGGUGUGGUUUUUGCCUUUGAGGAUAAAACAAACAAACAAAAAUAAACCAAACAAACUAAAAACCCAUCUCACAGUGUAGUAAUUGUACGUGUUAGGACUUUGUACUUUGAGAGAAGACGUUACCUUGCUAUGCAAUAUUAGCCUAACAGAGUAAGGACUUUCCUUCCCCAAAGCCCAGCAACAGGCAAUGGAGUAAAAAUCCUGAUCUGUUCUGUGGAUUACUAAUAUAUCUUUGUGUUACCAAAGAAAAUAGAGCCUCUGGCAGAAAAUGUAAUCUGUCAAAAACCUUUUGGAGGAGUAGAGGGCUCAGAUGGAAGCUGGGAAGGAAAACUGAGAGAUAGAGAAGCAAUGUGGGUGUCUCUGUUGCUCAGUAGCUUGAAGGUCAAUUUUGCACUGAAAAGCAAGGCUCUGGACUUGCAGUCCUCAGAUUUACUGCAUCUGCCUGAAGGAACAGGGGAAGAGUCUGUGCUUGGAGGUAUUCCUGCUCCCGUGCCAAUGGUUUGAUCCUACCAGAGAAAGGGGUCAAAAGCUGAGAAUAUCAUACUAAGGGAAUUUCUGCACUUCAGAGCGUAGUCUACUACUCUUGCGAUAAUACAAUCACAAGCAUCUGUUUGGUUACAGCUUUUACUGGAAGUGGGCAAACUGGCAGAAAAACCUUAAGGUGGGCAAAUUGGCAGAAAAACAUUAAGGUGGUGCCAAGCCGACGCAUCUGGUUUGCUUCCACAUGUCCAAACAACAGUAAUACCUAUAAAGCUAUCUACAGACAUGUAAAAUACAAAAAUAUAUUAAGUGGUAUACAUGUUAAAGUUGUUGCCGAGAAAUAAUGACAGUAAUUAUUUUCACUGGCUCUUUCUUUUCUUUGGCAUGCCCUCGUCUGUGAGCCUGGAGACAAGUGAGACCUGGAAAACGUGUUGGAAAUUGGAUUUCAGAUUAACCACCUUCUCAGCAGUCCUUUGGCAACAGGUUGGCUCCAAUAACUGAUGUAAGUUGUGGUUUUGGUAUGGACCUCAUGAGUCAGGAGCUGCAGAAGUUACCUUCCUGAAAUUAACUUCAGAGUAAGACUUCCCUGGAUGGGACGAUGGAGAAUUAUGAUUCUAUUUAAAAUCAAGAAUGGAAGAUUAAUAUUGACAAAUACAACUACCAGUUGAAUCUGUUUCAGUAUUCACUGGCACAAGUGGCUGCUCUCUCUCCUUUCCCGACUCAGCUAGACAAAUUCACUUGUAACUAACGGAUUGGUGGCUGAAAAAAAUCUACUCAUCUCCGCAGUUUUGGUUUCAGGAAGACUCACACUGAAAAGAGGAUAAUAUCUGGGUUGCAUUCCAUGGGUAUCCUCACAUAUUCUGAGCACAGAAGAGCAGUAGUAUGUAGGAAAAACUGGUGUCUAAGGGUUUGAGGACUUCUCAUUAGUGCUUUGUAAGAUAUUACUUAGCAUUUUGUGGCAAUUUUUUUCUUUCUUUUUUUUUUUUUUUUUAAGGAUGUUGUGAUUUAACAAGAGAACUUGCCUCAUUUUAGAAUAGUAUUAAGCUCUUAUCACUUGACUUUAUGCCUACAUGUAGAUUUUGGGCAUUUAAAUUAAAGGAUCAGACUGCUGAGGUGAUGUUUUCCUGCAUCCUGUUAGCCCCUUCACCAAGAGUAAGGUGAUAUCUGAAGAAUCCUUCUAAAGUUGUAAUGAAAACUCAUGUAACUGCAAGGUUUUUUCUUCUGUGCCUUCUAAAUCACUUAGCUUUUUACAUAGCAGAGGAGUAGCAGGGGUCCCCUGCUGUGUAUGGCAUGUGUGUGGUGAUGCUGAUUUCAGUGGCAUUUGUGGUAAAAUGUGAGAAGGGACUAUGAUUUUAAAAACAGUAGCAAAGGGCAUAUCAAAAUGCCUCUGUGCAAGGCACGUGCAAAGCUGUCUUGGGUGUGGUAACAAGGUCUCCACUUGGAGCACGCUGCUCCCUGCUGCCCUGCAGUCUGUCUGUGCCAGGAAAAAUGUGACUUCUUGACUUGUGCAAGUAAAGUAGCUUCCUGGCCCCUCCUCCCUGCCUAUAAACAUUUAUUCCCCAGUAAGUGUAACCUUGGCCUUAGUGCUGUUGAGUGAAAGCAUUCUUGUGCUCUUGAAAGCAGUUGGCAUUCUCUAAAAAAUUCCCAUUGGAUCCAUAGGCACUGCGGGGGUAGUACUCUCAGCUUGUAAUAAUACACCUUUCCUGGCAUAAUGAAUAAGAUCCUUGAAUUAACAAGAGGAAAAACAUUAGUUCCAAGCAGGUUGUGAGCCAGGAGGAAGGCUGAGCCAAGCGUGCUGAUGAUGGUGAUGUAGUCACCAUCGCCGUGUCUGAUGACAGAGUUGCAAGGAUAUACAGCUGAGAUCAGUGAUAGGCUGAGGAUGAAGCUCCUCUGUGAGAUGCUGCUCUGCAAUGGGGAAACCCCUUUUAAAUUGCCUGUCUUGUUUAAAAAAAAAGAAAAAAAGAAGACAACAUGACAAUGAGAUAAACGCAUAGCGUUUAGUCUGGUUAAGACUCCUCCCACCAACGAUGUACUUACCGUAUUUUGAUUGAUGAAAUACUUCUCAGUUAGUCAGUUAAAAGGUUCUUAUCUGUUUUUUUUCCAUUUGACCGACCCACGGAGAUCUAGGACGUUUGGUGCUAUGUUUGGGAAAUGUUUGCCUCAGCUAACAAGAAGCUGGUACUUGAUUUCUGUCCUGCCACUGGUGUCAUCACAUCACCAGGGUUUCCCACUGUCCAUCCUGCUGCUGAAAUAAGUGAAAAAAAAAACAAAAACAAAUCAGGGUCUACCCUUGGGCAUAGUAUAUCAAAGUGAUUAGUUUUUGUGCAGGAGGAAGUCAAGGCUAUUAAAAUGUCAGAAUUUACAAGGAAUGGAAAUCCUGAGUGAUCUGUGGCAGAUUCUUGGGGCGCAGUAAUACCACAGAGGCCCUAAAGCAGGUGAGAGCCAGCUACAUGCAAACACCUCCCUUUGGAGGGACCAUCUCUUUCUGAAACCUGUGCAGAUGGAGGGUUGUGAGGCUUUCCCACAGACUUCAGACCUCCUUUUACUUGAGGCUGGGGGAUGCGGGGGAUGCAAAGGGGACUAUCGUAGUUCUUGGUCAUCUUUAAAGUCAUGAUUUGCAAUUAUCAGCAAUCUCCUCUGGAAAGGUUUAGGAGUGGUGCUGACCACUGCUGUGAAAAAUGCCUGUGACGACUGUCCAGCUGUACUGCAGCACCUGCAGAAUGCAGCAGAGACUGGGGAGCAGUUUGGACAGUCUGAGGCAUGAAGAAAAAAUAUUCUAAGAGCAGAUAAAAUUGAGGGGCGUGACUUUCCAGCCCUGUAUGUUUUUACUAAUACCUGUGCAGUGUGUGUAUGUUUAAAAAAAAAACAACAAAA